CUGACGGUCGAGCAUGCCGCGGAAGAAACAGUGAUACGCGGCAGGCUGCCGUCUUCAUUCUCGAGGAAUCGAAAGCUUUUCGAAUCUGCGGAAUCCUUUUCGAAGUCCGAUCUUUUAAUAUGUCCAUUCCGUCAAAAUCCGAUUUCUAUCGACCUCGUUAUGGUUUGAGAGUCUCCGAUCCCUUCUUCGUGGUGGUCUUCAUCCGUUGGCAGCAUUAGUUCAUCUCUGGGGCUUUUCCUUUGUAUGGCCGAUCCAGUUCCCACCUCUCAUGGUUAUCUAGGUUCUUCUGGCCCUGGAGAAGGAUCAAUCUUUUCUUGUUAUUCAAUCGGUUGGUAGGGUUGUCCAAAUGUGUCCUGCACCAAUCGCAGCUUCUAAUACUCCUCUCUUUGUCUGCUUCACACAUUUUGGUUCCUGUUUUCAGCAGCAUUCCUGAUUUCGGAAGAAAUACACAGUAUUAGCACCAUA